rnacentral:rRNA from 1 species
UACGGGGGGGGGCAAGCGUUGUUCGGAAUUACUGGGCGUAAAGGCUCGUAGGCGGCCAACUAAGUCAGACGUGAAAUCCCUCGGCUUAACCGGGGAACUGCGUCUGAUACUGGAUGGCUUGAGGUUGGGAGAGGGAUGCGGAAUUCCAGGUGUAGCGGUGAAAUGCGUAGAUAUCUGGAGGAACACCGGUGGCGAAGGCGGCAUCCUGGACCAAUUCUGACGCUGAGGAGCGAAAGCCAGGGGAGCAAACGGG